CGGUAGCUCAGGGGUAGAGCAACUGACUUUUAAUCAGUGGGUCGAGAGUUCGAUUCUCUCCC
rnacentral:tRNA from 1 species